rnacentral:rRNA from 1 species
GCUUAACAUGCAGUCGAGCGGAAGGCCCUUCGGGGUACUCGAGCGGCGAACGGGUGAGUAACACGUGAGCAACCUGCCCCAGGCUUUGGGAUAACCCCGGGAAACCGGGGCUAAUACCGAAUAUGACCUCCGAUCGCAUGGUUGGUGGUGGAAAGUUUUUCGGCUUGGGAUGGGCUCGCGGCCUAUCAGCUUGUUGGUGGGGUGAUGGCCUACCAAGGCGACGACGGGUAGCCGGCCUGAGAGGGCGACCGGCCACACUGGGACUGAGACACGGCCCAGACUCCUACGGGAGGCAGCAGUGGGGAAUAUUGCACAAUGGGCGGAAGCCUGAUGCAGCGACGCCGCGUGAGGGAUGACGGCCUUCGGGUUGUAAACCUCUUUCAGCAGGGACGAAGCGUAAGUGACGGUACCUGCAGAAGAAGCGCCGGCCAACUACGUGCCAGCAGCCGCGGUAAGACGUAGGGCGCGAGCGUUGUCCGGAUUUAUUGGGCGUAAAGAGCUCGUAGGCGGCUUGUCGCGUCGACCGUGAAAACUUGGGGCUCAACCCCAAGCCUGCGGUCGAUACGGGCAGGCUAGAGUUCGGUAGGGGAGACUGGAAUUCCUGGUGUAGCGGUGAAAUGCGCAGAUAUCAGGAGGAACCCCGGUGGCGAAGGCGGGUCUCUGGGCCGAUACUGACGCUGAGGAACUAAAGCGUGGGGGACCCAACUGGAUUAGAUACCCUGGGAGCCCACGCUGUAAAAAUUCGGGCUCUCAGUUGGGGGGGGUCCCCCCCUGUUUCCCCGGGCUCUCCAACUUAACCCCUUAAGGAUCUCCCCCCCUGGCGGAUAUUUGGCCUUAC